CAGCAGCCGCGGUAAUACGUAGGGUGCAAGCGUUAUCCGGAAUUAUUGGGCGUAAAGAGCUCGUAGGCGGUUUGUCGCGUCUGCUGUGAAAACUGGAGGCUCAACCUCCAGCCUGCAGUGGGUACGGGCAGACUAGAGUGCGGUAGGGGAGAUUGGAAUUCCUGGUGUAGCGGUGGAAUGCGCAGAUAUCAGGAGGAACACCGAUGGCGAAGGCAGAUCUCUGGGCCGUAACUGACGCUGAGGAGCGAAAGCAUGGGGAGCGAACAGGAUUAGAUACCCCCAGUAGUCCCUGUCUCUUAUA
rnacentral:rRNA from 1 species